ensembl:snoRNA small nucleolar RNA SNORA57
CCUCUGCCUGUUGACUGGCACAUGGUGGAUCAGUACCUCUGUGCAUCACAUUUGGAGGUAGAUUAGAGCCAGUGCUAUGCCUUCGGUACCGGUGCAUUUUUGGUCAUCGGGUGCUAUUCUCAAAACCUGGUACAUAA